GACGAACGCUGGCGGCGUGCUUAACACAUGCAAGUCGAACGGAAAGGCCCUGCUUUUUUGCGGUGCUCGAGUUGCGAACGGGUGAGUAACACGUGAGUACCCUGCCCUUCACUUUGGGAUAUCUUCAUGCAACUGAGGCUAAUACCGCAUAGGAUCUCCUGCUGCAUGGUGGGGGUUGGUUAGUUUCGGCGGUUGGGGAUGGACUCGCCGCUUAUCAGCUUGUUGGUUGGGUAGUGGCUUACCAAGGCUUUGACGGGUAGCCGGCCUGCGAGGGUGACCGGCCAAAUUGGGACGGAGAUGAGGCACAGACUAGUAUGGGAGGGAGCAGAGGGGAAGAGUGCAUAAUGGGAGGAAGGCUGAUGUAGCAAAGCAGCGUGGGGGAAGAGGGGCUGCGGGUUGUAAAGCGAUGUCGCUUGUGACGAGGCGUGAGUGACGGUAAUGGGUAAAGAAGCACCGGCUAACUACGUG
rnacentral:rRNA from 1 species